UUUCCGUAGGUGAACCUGCGGAAGGAUCAUUAUAGUACAAAAAGUGAGGGGCAUGCGAGGGGUGUCGCUGAUCCCUUAGUCGUGCAUGUCCGAGUGCGUCCUUUUGCAUAAUAAUCCAUCUUACCCUUUUUGGUCCACCGCAUGGGCACCCUCCGGGAUCAUCUCGGAGGGGGGCCCGCGUUUUCACACAAACCCCCCUUUUAAAGGUGUUGAAUGACCACAUUUAUGCAAUGAAUACAACUUUCAACAACGGAUCUCUUGGCUCUC
rnacentral:misc_RNA from 1 species